rnacentral:rRNA from 1 species
GUAGUCAUAUGCUUGUCUCAAAGAUUAAGCCAUGCAUGUCUAAGUAUAAGCAACUUUGUACUGUGAAACUGCGAAUGGCUCAUUAAAUCAGUUAUAGUUUAUUUGAUGGUUUUUGCUACAUGGAUAACUGUGGUAAUUCUAGAGCUAAUACAUGCAUUCAAGCCCCGACUUCUGGAAGGGGUGUAUUUAUUAGAUAAAAAUCAACUUUGUUGGUGAAUCAUAAUAACUUCUCGGACCGCAUGGCCUCGUGCUGGCGGUGCUUCAUUCAAAUAUCUGCCCUAUCAACUGUCGAUGGUAGGAUAGAGGCCUACCAUGGUUGCAACGGGUAACGGGGAAUG